rnacentral:piRNA from 1 species
UGUCCCAUGCACUCCAGCCUGGAUGACGGAGC